UCCCUGGCAGUCCAGUGGUUAGGACUCAGCACUUUCACUGCUGAGGACUUAGGUUCAAUCCCUGGUUGGGGAG